rnacentral:rRNA from 1 species
UACGUAGGGUGCAAGCGUUGUCCGGAAUUAUUGGGCGUAAAGAGCUCGUAGGCGGUCUGUCGCGUCGAAUGUGAAAACCCGGGGCUCAACUCCGGGCUUGCAUUCGAUACGGGCAGGCUAGAGUUCGGUAGGGGAGUCUGGAAUUCCUGGUGUAGCGGUGAAAUGCGCAGAUAUCAGGAGGAACACCGGUGGCGAAGGCGGGACUCUGGGCCGAUACUGACGCUGAGGAGCGAAAGCGUGGGGAGCAAACAGG